AAUAUUUGACGCCGUUGACUUUUUAGCACAUGUUUGACCAUUCGUCUUAUUCAAAAAAUUUAAGUAAUUAUUAAUUAUUUUCCUAUCAUUUGAUUCAUUGUUAAAUAUAUUUUUAUGUAGGCAUAUAAUUUUACAUAUUUUACAAAAGUUUUUGAAUAAGACGAAUGGUCAAACAUGUGCUAAAAAGUCAACGGUAUCGAACAUU
rnacentral:pre_miRNA from 1 species